GUCUACAGCCAUGCUACCCUGAACAAACCCAAUCCUGUCUGAUCUCGGAAGCUAAGCAGGGUGCGGCCUGGUUAGUACUUGGAUGGGAGAUCACCCAGGAAGCCAGGUGCGAUAGGCA
rnacentral:rRNA from 1 species